UUUUUUUUUUUCACUCAAACGCCUAACAGUAUCCAUUUAUUUAUUUAUUUAUUUUUGUCUUUUUUUUUUUUUUGCCAUUUCUUCGGCCGCUCCCAUGGCAUAUGGAGGUGUUGCCCUAAAAAGAGGCAAAGGAAAAGAAAGUGUUGGAUCAGAAGUUCCUGUCUGCUGUGGCACAGCGGGUUAAGGACCCAGCAUUGUCUCUGCGGCAGCACGCGGGUUUAAUCCCUGGCCUGGCACAGUGGGUUAAGGAUCCAGGGCUGCCACAGCUGUGGUGAAGGUCAUAGUUGUGGCUUGGGUUCGAUCCCUGGCCCAGGAAAUUCCAUAUGCCACGAGUGUGGCAGCCCCCCCGCCCCCCCAAAAGUGUUGGAAUCAACUACUGAACAAUGGGGCUGUGAGACACCUGAGAGACCCCCCCACUCAUCCAGGUUAAACACUGCCAUGGAUGUCACGUGGCAUCAGGUUACGCUGUAUGUCACUGAGGAUUUCCAAUUACACAUGCUCAGAUGUGAAGAGACAGCAGCGAUGUCUACCUACACGAACUCUCCAGGUAGAUGUGACUGCAGGUGCAAUACACGGGCCGUGUGUCCCAUUUCCUACCACAUGUUCCAUCCCAACGCGCACCUGCGGCUGCCCAGGAUGCUGCCCUUGCGGGACUGGGGGACUCCCUGUUGCCCACUCCUGUCUCACUCGCAGCACCAGGUGUGUCUCUGAGUACGUGCAAGGCGCUCAGAUGCUUGUUGAUUUCACCUUUAAAAGGCAGCAGAGCAAGGCAGAGAUGGGUUUGGCCAGGGAAGGCUUUCUGGAAGAAGUUGAGGAUAAAGCGCUGGAGGGCGGGGGUUUGGGGGGGGGGAGAAGAGACGCCCAGCUGGGUGGGUGAAGGGGGAACACGCAGCCUGAGGGUGGGCAAGGGGCAGAAGGAGUGGGUCGUCCCUUCAGAUGCUUCUCCUCUGUCCUAAAUCCCCCCUGAAUGAUUUCAAGUGUAUGCAUCUCCCCAGUUGUAGCCCGGAGACUUCCUCAAGGCACUGCUUUAGGCGUCAGUGUCUCCCCAGCAUUUGGCACAUGCUACGCGCUUGAUGAAAGUAGCUACACGAGGACCGGGCACAGCGCCUUGAGCCUUCCCCAGAUGCCGACCUGCACCUGCCUCAUGGGCUCUGCUCACUAGAACUGGCCAGGAGGGAACGGGGCACAAGCCGGCCUUGGCUUUGGCUUCCUUGCUCUGCUGACCCCCAAGGGGCUUCCUGCGUCCCUCCCAGAGCUCACUUCGGGAGAAAGAACAAGGGGAAGACGGUGAGCACAGCUCUGACAAACAGCAAGGCAGUUCCUCUGAUGCCUGCAGCCUGGUGCCAACUGGCAUUUCCCUUUCCCUUCCCUGCAACCAAGGAACCAUUUUAAUGCAGGAGCAGGACAGACGGAGAUUAGGUGAAAAAUGAAGGCUGUGGUUAUUUCCCAAGAGAAAGUGCUAAAGAGUUUGCGCACCAGUGUUUGAGGACGGGCUGGGAUGGGGUCGAGGUGGGGAUAAUAACUGAGCCCUGGCUGCAGGAUCCAGGAAAGAAAGGAGGAGGAAACCCCCGCAGCUCCCUCCCAAUGGUGUGGGGCUGCCUAGAAAUGCACAGGAUGCAGAGAAGCCGUGCGGAGUCACAGUGGGACCCAGGCUGAAGGGGGCGCGGACGGAAUGGGUAAAGGAAGCAGCUCUCGGGUUCGGGGUUGUACUUUUCGCAAGUGGCUCAGAGCUGGGAGAUCAGACCCCCAGCCUCACUACUCUUCCACUGACAGCAGCUCCUCUAACCAGAGGCCUCUCCCCAUGCCGCUUCAGCUCACCCACCUCCAAACGGGGAGAGUCAUUUAUGCUGUGUCUGCUUCCCACGUAAAUGAAAUCCUCUGAGGGCUACGGGUUUUUGGUUUUUUCUUCUUUCUGAAGUAUUUUAACCAGUGCAAACUGUUAUUAUCAAUAUUUGCAGCAUCUUUUUUAACGGCCUGCCAAAGAGUGGCUGCGUUCUUAAACCCUGGUUCUCCCUCCGAGGAGCUGAUACAUCAGACACCAGCACAGAGAGGAUGAGCAUGCUGAGAAGAGUCACACACCCCAAACCAUCAGGGCUAAGACUGCUCAGGAGGCAACUGCAGGAGAAGCAGGUAGGAGAGGAAAAUCUAUCCCCUACUUUGUGGCUAACCUAUGAGUCUUACAGUUAUAGAAUUUCAGAGCUGGAAGGGCCCAUCCACGAAUUCCAGGAAGUUUCUAGGAGGCGGCAAGACCUCGACGGACCUAGAACUAGAACCAUACAGCCUGGGACAGGCUGAGGGUCCUUGGGAAAAAGACAAGGGGAGGUCUGGUCUCUCCUUGCUUCAGGCCCAGCAGCGAUUAUUCACUCGGAUGUGCCCUGGCAGGUUCCCUAACACCAGCCAGGUGCCCUCCUCCGGGCACAGGGGCAGCAGUGCCAGGAGGCAGGGCCGCCACAGGGUGGGGGCGGGCACAGCCCCAGCUCCUCCUACUGCCAAGCGCCCCCCCGGGCUCCACAGAGGACCAGAGAAACCUGUGCGGGGCCACCAGGAAAGAGAAUGGGAACUUGCGAUCUUCAGAGGGAACCCAGGAGAGCUGGCAAAACAGUCCGGAGCCACACAGCCCUCUAGCACGGAAGAACAGGGCUGCCAGGGCCUGGGGAGCCUCUCUUUAUCCAACCAGACUAGGCUGGGCUGAGAGGCCUUCUGCCCUCCCUUCCCUAAGAAACAAUGGGCCUGUUUUCCUGAGCUCUUCCUGUGACCCGGGCGGCCCACAGAGAGGAAGAGAGGGGCAGAGGCAGGGCUGGUACCAAGGCACAGCCUGGGGUGGGGGGGGCCUUCAAUCGCUAGACGCUCAGCAGGGGCCUCAAAGCCACCCCUAAACAGCAACCAUCUAAGCGCCAAAACACUGACAGCCCUGCACAUGCAGCUUUAAACCCCGUCCCUUAGUCCCACCACCAGCCAGGUCACUAACCCUAAACCCCUUCUAGGAGCCACCACCGGGAAGGGGGUAGGGGGGCAGGUGGGUUUCCCUAGCAGCUCCGUCCCCCAGGGGCACAGGCACACUCAGUGGUGGCAGAAAUCCGGGGGGCGGUUCUGGUGGAGGAUGGCGACUCAGUCGUCCUCCAAUCAGCUGCGAGCAGCCAAAGGACGUGUGCGCGUGUGGGCACAAGAGCAGAGAUACAGGAGGGCGAGUGUUUGUGAGAAAGAACGUGUGUGAGAGGAGGCGAUGUGAGGGCUGGGGGCCGGGAAGUGGCAGGAAAAGUUUCAUUAGGUCACGUCUUCCUCCGUCCCCAAGCAGAGAAAGCAGACACAGCCCCAAGGACCCAACGGGUCCAGACACCAGCCUGUCACAGGAGGUGGCCUGAGUCCGUCUCCAUCGCAGUGCCCCCUUUCCCACCCCCAGGGCUCAGUGUGGAAAGCGGGCUGAGGCCAAGCAGGAGACAGAUCAACACUCCCUUGGGAUAAAGGAAGCUGGCAGAGAGGGAGCAUCAGGGCAGCUCCCCGCUGAGCCGACAAACUGGACGGGGGAGAGCGCAAAAGGAAGGCUGAAACCAUGGCUCAGUGGAAACAACCCUACCAGCAUCCACAAGGAUGCAGGUUUGAUCCCUGGCCUCGCUCAGUGGAUUAAGCAUCUGGCGUUGCCAUGAGCUGUGGUGUGGGUUGCAGACAGGGCUCAGAUCUGGCAUGGCUGUGGCUGUGGCACAGACAGGCAGCUGUAGCUCCCAUUCGACCCCUAGGCUGGGAACCUCCAGGUGUGGCCCUAAAAAGACAAAAGACGAAAACAAAACAAAACAAAAACCCUCCUUUCCCAGCCUUCCUUGCUCUCUAAAACCAACACUACUCCAUUCUGGGAGAAGCCUACUGCUCACACUGUGGAACUGAAUUGCAUCCUUUUAUUCUGGUUCCACACUGUGAGGUACUAGUCCUCUGUUUCUCGGCUGCUUUGAAGUAUUUUUACAGGGCAGGAGUGUGGGAGGGAGGAAGCCAAGGCUGCCCCGGGAGCAGAGGGGCGCAGAGGGGCGAGCAGAGGGGCGGGAAAGAAACUGGGAGGAGACUUAGGGGCUGGCAAAAGGGUCAUUUCUAAGUCACUCCUCCUGGGUCUCUAAGCUAGAAGGACACACACAUGAUAAUGAGCACGUGUGCGCGCACACACACAUACACACGCACGCACGCAGGCAUGUGUGCAGAUACAGGGAGAGGCAGAAGCAAGUCC
rnacentral:lncRNA from 1 species